UUCUCCUUGGAGCCUGGAUAGAGGUAGUAGCAGCAAGUGAAUUAGUUAGUGUCUUUUCUCAGAUAUACUAUGAACAGAGUAAAGGACUUUCCUGCUACCUUGGACCCUGAAGUAUUCAGAAGAAAGCAGAAACUAUCAAAGCGAAGAAACCAAGGUACAAAGUGGGGAAAUGAUUUGCCCAAGGCCACAAAAACUUUUCCACCAGUAUCUAGAAGUUGUACUGCACUGAGUUAAGCUUUGAGAUCUCAGGGCUACCUCCAGACCAAGAUGGUGAACUUUAAUGACUAUAAAGUAUUUUAAAUCUUCAACAAUAGCAACAAAAUUAUAAUUCUGGAA
rnacentral:lncRNA from 1 species